ACUACAGCCCCCAGCAUGCACCGCGGCCGCCCGACCACAGUGCCCAGCAUGCACCGCGGCCGCCGCGCCGUCAACAUGGCGGCGCCCAGGGCCGGCUGGGGCCCGGACACGGACUCGGACUCAGACAGCAGCGGCGAGGCGGCCGCGCGGUUCCGGGAGGCGGCCUGGGGCUGCGCGGCGGCGGGGCGGGCGGAGCCGGCCGGCGGUGCUUUUACCAAGGAUCGGUUACAGCCCGCUCGGCCAAGCUUAAGGUGUGAGGUGAAUGGUCAUGGUGAAGAUGGAAAUGAGCUACAGACGACACCAGAGUUCAGAGCACACGUUGCGAAGAAACUGGGAGCGAUGCUAGAUGGUUUCAUCACUGUCUUGAAGGACCCAUCAGGACCUUCACAAGCCUCUGUGCGACAGUCUGACUCUGCAGACGAUGGUUUUCGCCUCUUCUCUUCCUCUGUUCUGGGAGAUUGUGGGGAGUCGGACCCGUGCCCUGCAGUGAGGAGGAGGUGGCCGUCCAGCUCCAGUGACACGGACAGUGACCAAGAGUGGCAAAAGUACCAGGAGGCUGCAGUGUCAGCCACAGACAUUCUGAAACAAAGUGCUUUCCCUGCACUGUCCCAGGAUUCCAGCGAGGAUCAGAGUAGGGGUUGUGUAGAACACAGCCAGAGAAAAAAGAAAAAGAAGAAAAUUAGGAAAGAGAACAAUAUUCAAGAGAAAAUAAUAGACCCAGCAGAGCAUGACCAGAUCAGCAAAGAUCUGCCGCGGUUGGUGUCUGCAAAUGGACAGCACAGCAAUCACACUCAGAACUCUGUGUUGCCAAGAGUUGCAAAGAAGAAAAAGACGAAGAAAAAAAGAGAAUGAAGAUUUUGCACUGAACGGCAGGUGGUUAUGGUGGAUGAAGGAUGCAGAAAAGAAAAAAACCUGACAAAAGAGUUGAUGCACAGAAGGGAAAAUUAAUUGGCAAAGCUUCUAUUCUAAAAGCUCAGUGGCCUGAGAGUCUAAUUAAGUGACUUCCUAUGUUGUUGGCAUCCCCUGGGAAGGGAACAUUGUCCUCCUAGCACAGCAGUUAUCUAGGCUGCUGCUGCUUAUGCAGACCUAACGUAAAAGGAUUAAAUACUGAGCCCAGACUCAUGACAGAGGGGCUUAAUCGUAGCUGCAUCCCUCCUGAUCUGUUCCUUCCCGUCAGGAAAUCAAAUCUUGUGUCCUGGAGAAAGUAUAUGAUGAAUUGAGUUUGGUUUACAUGGCUACAGGUGAUCGACUGCUUUUUCCCUUUGACUCCUCCUAGAUGCCUACUAAGAACAACUCCAGCCUGUGGGAGACUCAUUUAUCAAAAGCAUCCUGACAGAUAUCUGGGCCCCCUUAUUUUUUUCCUGUGAUCAUCCUGACAAUCUGUUGUUGAAACCUGACAUGCUACUAAUCCAUCUGUAAUUGCACCUCUCCAGGGCCCCUGCAGAUUCUCAGGCAGGAGAAGCCUUCGUUUCCCUGAGAUGGCUUCUGAACUGCUGCUUUGGACCAGACCUCGCUUAAACUGAGGUUCAAAGCUGUGAAGGGCUCAGGACCAUCCUCUGGCCCUUUCCUCUGGAGCCUGCUCGACAACCCUCCCUGCUGUCAGUGCCUGGAGCCGGGCUGGGCAGAGCCAGGGAAGGUGGCAUCUGCACCCGGAGCACCACGUGCCCUCGCUGCUGUGAGCUGAGAAAUCUCGGAUACAGAAGACUCUCUUUGCGUGCCUAAAAGGAAGUGAUAAUCUGAAGUCCAUGUAAAAACAUUUAAUGGCAAAACCAAGGUAAUGGACAGCAGAGUCCCGUGAACAGAAUGGACAGCAGAAUAGACUCCCAAAGCCUGACUUCUUCUAUCAACACCAUUUUUACCUGUGUGUUUGUUUACUGAAUUAUAUCCAUUAUUAAGUGCACAUGAUGAAAAAUACAGAAAUUUGCUGGGAUAAAGCCAGUCUAAUGUGGCUUCAAGGAGCAUACAGAGAAGGAAAAAAACCUAAAUAUGAUAAAAGUGCUAAUGGAAGGAGCCUGUAUGUUUUAACUAAUACAAUGGUAAAAUUUCUAUUGGCAAAAGAAACACAGGGAAAUGGCUCUCUGAUAAUUCUUUACCACUUUACUGUUCUUCCUGCUGAGACUGCUAAAUGCUUUAUUGGCUUGACUGACAUUAACAUCAUCCCCUCCUUGAAACGUGAGAGCUGUGUUAUAGUGUUCACCCUUAUUUCUGUGGCUGGGGAAUAGUGCAAGUACCAAACCUGAUUACUAUUUGUGCUUUGGGAGCUUAGUCCCAAAUGGCACACAGCAGUGUGAAAAAUCCGAGAUAAUUGGCAUGUAUAUGUUGUUUUCAAAGGAUUAGAUUUUAGUUAUUUGUGCAAACCCCGAGUAUCUCAGUGGGAAAACACUCACCUGAAUACAUAGUUUUAAUGUUCCAAAUAUAUACCUAUUUAUGUUUUAAUUCAGUAGUCUUUGUAAAUACAUGAUUAUAAUAAAAAUAUGAUUUACAGAGAAUUAAGAUGGGUUUUUUUAUUAUAAUCAUAUAUUUACAACAAAGACUAAUAAAUUAAAACAUUCUUUUUCUCUGCUUUCAGUAGUACAAUCAGAUGCAGAACAACCCAAACUCUUUCAGCACCAGGAAGGGGGCACGGCUGCCUUUUGACUGAGACACUGUGGUGACUUCAAGUUUCUUCUUACCACUGUUUGCAGGAUUCAGUUGGAUUUGGAACAAACAUUUACUCUUUAUCUCCAAAGACAACAUUUGUUGAGCUUUGGGAGUCUCGGUGAAGCCGAAGGUUUAACAGCCAUUCAGAACAGGCCUGGAUGCAGAGCCAACAGCACGGUGUGAUAAUGCCACAGGGCAUCAUGGGUUUAAAUUAUAGGCGCUCUCGACAUUCCUCUUCCUAUAUGGGGACACAGGACUGUGUCCUUCCCCGGCUUCCAUCUGUUCCUUCACUUACUUGCUGUUUCUGCCGUCAGGGUGAGGAUGAGGUUGGAGAGCAGGAGCAGCCCUGGAGUUCAGUUAAUGGAGUUUCCCACUAGGUGGUAGUGAAGAGAAUCGCGUCACAGGUACCGGUCAGUGAACAUUUCAAUUAUUUUUAUCCAGGGGAAUCCCACAAGGAUCUUACAAGCAGAAUAACCUAAUGUAGCCCUGAGCUAUACUGUCAAACCUGGAUCUCUUGAUUUUCUUUCCUUUUUUUUUUUUUUUUUGUUUCUUUUAUUUCCCCUUCUCUUUCUACUCAUUUCUGUGCUAUUUGUUCCUCCUCAAACCAAACAGGUUGGCAGCUAUACCUGUCAUGUCCUUUCCUGAAAGGUGAAGUGUCUACAAGAAGCUUCUCUGGUUCUCUUUCCACCUCCAUUAUAGUAGAAUGAAGACCGGUUAGCUAAAUGUCAUCUGAUGACAUUUAAGCAAUUUGGAGGUGAGAACUCUUUGUAGCCAGUACUUCCAUCUGAUUUUUCUCCACCGCACUUGCCUCUGGGACCUACCCUUCCAAACAUUAAAAGGAAAAAACACACACCUUGUUUUUGUUUGUUGCUAGUUUAUAAAUACCUUGACAGGUCAAAGUGAUGCAUCAGUCUACAUCAAAGGUUCCAGACAGAACAGGUAUUUUGGAAGGACUUUGUAAUGUCAGAGUAAACUGCUACUGAAAUGCAGAGUAAAGCUCUCUUGUAGGUCCAAAGAAAGGCUGUACAAAAGAUAUGAUGAGAAAAUUAUCUGGGGAAUGCAAGCAGUGCUCCAAUUUGCUGGGUCUGCAAGGAGGAAUAAAUUUCUCCUGUGAAUUCAUGUCACUGCUACCCUGUAAUGACAGAGCAAGCCUGUGAAAUCAUUUAGUAGUCUAGUCACAAAGCCUGAGAUGCUGACAAAAAUUAUACUUCAAUUGCUCAUCAACUAUAAAUCAUUUGUGCCAAAUUAAUGUGCUGGAAAUUUUGCAAGACUGAGAAACUGGAAGCUAUUUCAAUAAGAACACAAAGCAGGGCUGCUGUUUCAUAGAUACCAAUAUCAGUUUUACAUUCUGUUCUCAGGGGAAAAAAAUUUAAGAAAGGCUCUUUAGUACCACGACAAGGCUGAAGCACUGAUUUCUCUUUCCCAGCAUUCAUUCAGAAGAUGGAGAGGUUCUUUUUUGCUCUUGCCUUUAUCAUGAUCACUGCAAAGGGCGGCGCCAACAGGCAUCCCAGAGACACUGGGGUUGUACCACGGCAGAGUGAGGACUCCAAAUUAUCUGUUUUCUAAUGGUUACUGUAGAUUUUUCUGCCGUGCUGAGGGAGAAUAAAGGCAGGGAACUUCUCUGUUGUUCAAGUCCUACCCAGAGCCUGAGUAUUUUUUCACUGGGAUGUGCAUGUGUGGGAAUACUAGAAUUUCCACCCAAACUGACUGACUAGGGUACGUACCCCAGUGCUCAACAAGCUGAGCAUGACUCACUCCUGUCCUCGUGUCAAACCCACCAAAGCUUUCUGUACCUCCUGAGACGGGGACAAGUACAAGUAAGUUAUUAGAGGGCAAAAGAGUUACAUGGUCAAAUAGGGGAGAACGUUUUUCGAAGUAGCCCAGCUUGAGCUGCAUGAGAAGAAACGUUAGUGUUACCAUCUAAUGCUUCCAGUACCUCCAGCUGCCAUGACAGCCCCAGUAAGCAAGUCAGUCACAGUACUUUGAGUAUUUCCACCUCAAAACUGAUAGAGCCGAAUCUCAAGCAGAUUUUAGUGAGUGGGUACUGAUCACAUCAGUAGUUCUAGGGUCAUUCCUGUCCCCAAGGCCAAAGGGCUGUGAAAAGCACACAUGAUUUGGAUGCUGAGGUGUGACAACCCAAAUUGCUUGUAAGACCUCAGAAGAAGGCAGAAGGGAGAAAAGAUGACUUCACGUCCGGUGCAGCUUGUAACCGUGUUUUCAGUGCAUAAAGGGAGAGGUGACAGAGGGAAGAGGUCCAGCACCAUCUCACUGAAAGCACUGGUUAGCUGAAGCACAGGAAUCCCAGGUGUUCCCUCUGCUGAGAACAAGAAAGUGUGUUGUAUACGGAGCAUCCUCCUGUGGUGCCCCGAGCUUCAGCUGCCUGGAACGUGCUGCUGCUUCCUCUUCGCUGACGAAGGAUGAAGUGAGCCCCCCACAAUUACACAGAGAACCAGUCACAGAAGAAACGAGCCAUUCCUUACUUUUAAUCCUGUGCUACUACUACACGCCAGCCCAACUUUUUUUCCACUUAAAAGAAUAAAGGAGACAGAUAAAUGGAAAUAAUUUAUUCAAUCCACUAAUAGAAAUAAAUGAGAGUGGGCUCAAAAUGCCCCUUUAGAGGCAUCUGGCAUUUCUGGAGAUGCAAGGAGAGCGUUCCAUUAAUUUUCUGAAGAUUUUAGCGAAAUUAUAUUAAGGUAUAGAAUUCCUCCAUACAUUUUCUUUAAUAAACCCAAAUACCUAUUUUUACCAGACCCAGGCAUUGUUCUUCUAUUUAUAUUUAAUGCAGUUACGUCACCUCCAACUCUAAGUUAAAACUGGCUCUUCUCCCUCCCACACGAGAAGGAACAAAGAACGAGGCUGCACAGCUGGACUGGAACAAUCGCUCCGAGCUCUGCGAAGCCCCACACGCACAAACGGCUCCCGUGCAGGAACGGGAGGUGGGAUUAAUUCAAGGGAGCAGACCCAAGAUAAGAUGCUAGUUCUGCAAUUGGCAGAAACACAAUCGGGGACUGAAGAUUUGGUGAUGGCACCAAAGAAACCAAGGGGAGAGAUGAGCGGGAUCAGCGGCUGCCAGUUCCUCUGCCUGGGACUUGCAGGGACGGUGGUAACAUGAAGUGUAUGGUUUCUAUUUGGUCAAAAUAUCUGUAAUGUUAUUUUCCUUCUUUAAAAAAAAUGCGUUGAGCAUUUGAUCUUA